rnacentral:snRNA from 1 species
AGCUUUGCGCAGUGGCAGUAUCGUAGCCAAUGAGGUUUAUCCAAGGUGCAAUUAUUGCUAAUUGAAAAAUAAUAAUUGUAUAAUGGGGUAUGGUGUGAUGUUUUAAUACAUGAGUAUAUUGUGGAAUGAUUAAAUCAAACCAUGAUAUUUGUCACAUGACCUAUUUU